rnacentral:rRNA from 1 species
GUGCACGCUGGCGGUAGGCCUCACACCUGCCAGUCGGACGGCAGCACCGUAAGAGCUUGCUCUUACGGGUGGCGAGUGGCGGACGGGUGAGGAAUACAUCGGAAUCUGCUUUUUCGUGGGGGAUAACGUAGGGAAACUUACGCUAAUACCGCAUACGACCUACGGGUGAAAGCAGGGGAUCUUCGGACCUUGCGCGAUUGAAUGAGCCGAUGUCGGAUUAGCUAGUUGGCGGGGUAAAGGCCCACCAAGGCGACGAUCCGUAGCUGGUCUGAGAGGAUGAUCAGCCACACUGGAACUGAGACACGGUCCAGACUCCUACGGGAGGCAGCAGUGGGGAAUAUUGGACAAUGGGCGCAAGCCUGAUCCAGCCAUACCGCGUGGGUGAAGAAGGCCUUCGGGUUGUAAAGCCCUUUUGUUGGGAAAGAAAAGCAGCAGGUUAAUACCCCGCUGUUCUGACGGUACCCAAAGAAUAAGCACCGGCUAACUUCGUG